rnacentral:rRNA from 1 species
ACGAACGCUGGCGGCGUGCUUAACACAUGCAAGUCGAGCGGGUAAGGCCCUUUCGGGGGUACGACGAGCGGCGAACGGGUGAGUAACACGUGGGUGACCUGCCCUCAGCUCUGGGAUAAGCCUGGGAAACCGGGUCUAAUACUGGAUAUGACUCCAUGACGCAUGUUGUGGGGUGGAAAGCCUUGUGCGGCUGAGGAUGGGCCCGCGGCCUAUCAGCUUGUUGGUGGGGUGANGGCCUACCAAGGCGACGACGGGUAGCCGGCCUGAGAGGGCGACCGGCCACACUGGGACUGAGACACGGCCCAGACUCCUACGGGAGGCAGCAGUGGGGAAUCUUGCGCAAUGGGCGAAAAGCCUGACGCAGCGACGCCGCGUGAGGGAUGACGGCCU